CCAAAGUGCUGGGAUUAUGGGCGUGAGCCACCAUGCCCAACCUAGACAGACAUUUUUAAAAAGUAAAAAUACAGUACUUCAUGACCACAGAUGCAAAAAAAUCUUAACAAAGUUUCAAAAAAUUGACUUAUACCAGUAAUUCAAGUUUAGUUUACCAUAAUAAAAUCAACCAAAGCAAUUUGGCAUAAAGACAAACAUUCUGCAAAACAAUUUGGCAGUUUCUUAAAUGUUAAACAGAUAUCUACCAUAUGACAUAGCUAUUCUUGUCUAGGUAUUUACCCAAGAGAAAUGAAAGGAUAUUUUCAUAUGACCAUCUGUGCAUAAAUGGUCAUAGUAGCUUAUUUAUAACAGAUGAAAACUGGACACAAUUCAAAUGCCCAUCUUCAAAUGAAUGAACACACAAAUUGAGCUAUAUUCACACAACGAGAUACUACUCAGCAAUAAAAAGGAAUGAAUUAUUGAUACAUAUUACACAUUAAUGAAUUUCAAAAUAAUUCUGCUGAAAGAAAAAAGCCAGAUAAAGAAAAGUAAAUACUGUGUGGUUCCAUUUAUAUGACAUUCUGGAAAAUAGAAACUAAUCAUGAGAGAGAUCAGAUCUGUGGUUGCCAGGGAUUUGAGGGAAGCAGGGAGGUUAUGGGGGAGGGGUUAUCAAGAGGGAGGAGAAUAUUUUGCUGGGGUGAUCGAUAUAUUCCUUAUUUUAAUUGUGAUGAUAGUUUCAUGGUUGUAUACAUAUGUAAAAAUUUAACAAGUCCUGCACUUUAAGCAUGUGUGUUCAUCAUAUGCCAAUAAAGCCUCAAUAUGGCUGUUAAACAAAAAUUACCGAACUGCUAAAUAUGUGUAUCACUCUAGGAAAUGAAAGACACCUCUUCAACUGCUUUUGUGUCUUGACUUUUUUCCCAAAGGAAGACCUAUAUUUUGCUUCAUUUCUUUCUACUCUACAUUUCUUUUUACUCUGCUUGCAUUUAGUUUAAAAGAAAAAGCUCUCUGUUGGUGAUUUCUAAUCUAUUUUAAAGUAAAUAAUUGUACUGUCCAAUUAGAGACUGAGAUAACUCAUGAAUUAUCACACAGGUUGUUCUCCUGUACAAUAUAUAUGAUUUUGAGUACUAAUAUUACACAGUGAAUUCAGAAUUGUGUGUAUGUACAUACAUACCAUAGUCUUAUAAAUAACUUCAACUUGCAAUAAUUAACUUGCAGUUAAUUCUUACAGUAGUAUGAGUUUGGGCCUCUUAAAAAAAGAACUAAAACCAACUCCCUGCCUGAGAAUAGAAACACACACACACACACACACACACACACCAAAUUGAAUAAUCUUGUUUUCUCGCUUACAAUUGUGGGCAUUCAUUUAUGGAAUUCUUGGCAGCUAUGUUAGCAUAAAACCCCACCUAUAAUUAUCAUUCAUAUUAGAAUAAUAUUUCACAAAUGUGGUCAGUAUUGUCUUCUGCAACAUUACAGUUAGUUGGUGGAAUAAGUUCUAGUGUUGUACAGCACUAUAGGGUAACCACAGUAAACAACAGUGUGUUGUCUUUUUUUUCAGAUACCUGGGAGAGAGGAUUUUUCAUGUUACCAACACAAAGAAAUGAUAAAGUGCUUCCCUUGCAGGUGAAAUGGCCACCAGACCCAGGCUUUCUGGAAUGCAUUCAUUUUCUGCAGUUGAAAGGGACAAUCCCGGAUCUGAAAGAAAGAGCCACAGUGACUCCAAGAGUGGAGCCAGGGCAUGCUGGACACUGCAUAGCUAUGGCCACGUGUGUCACCUCUGAGGGAGAUGUGAGAGAAACGCAGAGGGAUCGCUUGUGACUGUGCCUUCUCGAUGUAUGAUGGACUGUUCUGCUCAAAUAGUAAGUGUGACCAAGGAGCCGGUGAACAUAGGAAACAAAGAAUAUUUCAUUUGACAUUAUAAGGAAUGCGACAAUUCUAGUCACUUGAAAGUGAACUAUAUCUGUCGAGAAUUCCUAGUUUUAAUUGGGAAGAAAUGCGCUUCUCUUCUUGAAAAGCCACAGGUUAUUGCUGUUAUGUCUAAUAUCAGUCCUCUCUGGAUUUCUCAAAAGAUUUUCUGUAUAUCCUACCAUUUUCCUUCUGUUGCUGCAGUUUGGAAGUAGUUUGUUAUCAGGAUUAUCAAAGCAUCAUUGCUAUUUAUGACAAUGACUUUAAGAAAUGCAAGAAUAUUUGGAACACUGUAGAAAAAAUAUUUUAGCCUGGAAGGCAAAUACUAAUUUCAGGAACUAUUGAUCUGUUAUAAAACAGGACCACUCAGACAUUUAGCUCUAAGACUUUCACAUAUCCGUUGUUAGAGGCGUAUAGUGGGGGGAAUGACUCAGCUUCUGCUUAAGUACAAGGUGUUGUCUGCAGCGAAGGAAGAAUUUGAUUGUAGUAUCAACAGAACCAGACAGAACUCUUUGAAUAUAAUUAUAUAUCUUGGAAACUGACUCAUCAAAGCUAUUAGAUUACAUGGCAUCAUUUAAGCAUCACUGGGCUCUGUACUUUUCAUUAUCUGUACUUUUCAUUAUGGAGUAUAAUAGGCUUUAUUUGGUACAGAAAUUGGGUCUAAGAUGAAACAACUUGUGAUUUUUGAAUAAACUUUUGGGGAUUAGUUACUUUGAUGUUGUCAAGAUAGCACCAUAGUAAGUCCUCUGUCUUUCCUCUUGAUUUAUUUAUAAUUUAGAAUCAGUUUAUGAUUUUAAAAAAUGUGACAGACACAGUGGCAUGCACCAGUAGUACCAGCCACAUGGGAAACUGAGGCAGAAGGAUCACUUGAUCCCAGAAGAUAGAGACCACCCUGGGCAACAUAGUGAGAGCCCCAUCUCAAAAAAAAAAAAUCAAUUCCCAAUACCAUUCCAGAACACUUUUAAUAUAACCAGAUGAAAUUGUGAUCACUACUUUACUGUAAUGUUUAAAAUGGUCCUCAGUCCAUAUUUAAGUACAAUCUUAGUGUUUCUGUGCAACCUAAUAUAUUAGAAACAAAAAUUGUAUUGCAUUUGAAUAGGAAAUACUCUGAAUUGAGGGUUAUUUCUUUUAACAGUUGCAAUUAGAUUGGUUAGUGACAAUUAUCUGUAAUUUUCAGGCAAUGCCUAGGCAAGUGCCCAAGGCACAGUAGCCUCCUCCUUGCCUCCGUGUGUGUGUGUGUGUGUGUGUGUGUGUGUGUGUGUGUGUGUGUGUAGGGUGGUAACAUUUCUGGGAAUUUGUCUUAACAUAAAAUGAUACCACCUUUCACAAAACGACCUAGAGGAAGUUGGAAAUCCCACUAUCCUGGCUUCCUGCUGAGCAAUAUCUGCUUCUCUUUCUGACUCAGGCUGAUGCAUCUGUAUACUUAGCUUCACUUCUCCAGUAAAUAAGGGAGAGCUUUAUUAUAAAAGACAACUUCUAUUGAUUUUCAAGGGGGUGGGUGGUUGUCAAGCUCACUCCUUUCUAUGCACUGAGGGAAAAUUAUUGUAAGCGAUCUGUAAAACAAUAGAUGAAAAAAGAGGAGAUAAAAAUUAAAUAAAAUUUAAAUAAAAACUAGGAUCCUAAGUGGAAAAAUAGCUUUAAAUUAGAAAUUGAUACCAAAAAAUAAUGAUAUGUAAUCUAAGGUGAAAAUAUUUUGAAGACUAUCACGAUAUCUCCCUUAAAUGUUAUUUAGUUCUGAAAAAUAUGUAUUGAAGAACUGUUAUAUUUUACUUUAUGUCAUAUUAAGUGUGGUAAAAUUAAAGAGAAACAAGUAGAUAAAA